AGCGAACGCUGGCGGCAGGCCUAACACAUGCAAGUCGAACGAAGUCUUCGGACUUAGUGGCGGACGGGUGAGUAACACGUGGGAACGUGCCCUUUGGUACGGAAUAACUCAGGGAAACUUGAGCUAAUACCGUAUGUGUCCUUCGGGGGAAAGAUUUAUCGCCAUUGGAGCGGCCCGCGUCUGAUUAGCUAGUUGGUGAGGUAAAGGCUCACCAAGGCGACGAUCAGUAGCUGGUCUGAGAGGAUGAUCAGCCACAUUGGGACUGAGACACGGCCCAAACUCCUACGGGAGGCAGCAGUGGGGAAUCUUGCGCAAUGGGCGAAAGCCUGACGCAGCCAUGCCGCGUGAAUGAUGAAGGUCUUAGGAUUGUAAAAUUCUUUCACCGGGGACGAUAAUGACGGUACCCGGAGAAGAAGCCCCGGCUAACUUCGUGCCAGCAGCCGCCGUAAUAC
rnacentral:rRNA from 1 species